AGUGAACGCUGGCGGUAGGCCUAACACAUGCAAGUCGAACGGCAGCACAGUAAGAGCUUGCUCUUACGGGUGGCGCGUGGCGGGCGGGUGAGGAAUACAUCGGAAUCUACUUUUUCGUGGGGGAUAACGUAGGGACACUUACGCUAAUACCGCAUACGACCUACGGGUGAAAGCAGGGGAUCUUCGGAUCUUGCGUGAUUCUAUGAGCCGAUGUCGGAUUAGCUAGUUGGCGGGGUAAAGGCCCACCAAGGCGACGAUCCGUAGCUGGUCUGAGAGGAUGAUCAGCCACACUGGAACUGAGACACGGUCCAGACUCCUACGGGAGGCAGCAGUGGGGAAUAUUGGACAAUGGGCGCAAGCCUGAUCCAGCCAUACCGCGUGGGUGAAGAAGGCCUUCGGGUUGUAAAGCCCUUUUGUUGGGGAAGAAAAGCAGUAGGUUAAUACCUCGCUGUUCUGACGGUACCCAAAGAAUAAGCACCGGCUAACUUCGUG
rnacentral:rRNA from 1 species